rnacentral:rRNA from 1 species
UACGUAGGGUGCAAGCGUUAAUCGGAAUUACUGGGCGUAAAGCGUGCGUAGACGGUUAUGUAAGUCGGGUGUGAAAGCCCCGGGCUCAACCUGGGAAUUGCAUUCGAGACUGCAUAGCUAGGGUGCGGAAGAGGGAAGCGGAAUUUCCGGUGUAGCGGUGAAAUGCGUAGAUAUCGGAAGGAACACCAGUGGCGAAAGCGGCUUCCUGGUCCAGCACCGACGUUCAGGCACGAAGCGUGGGAGCAAACAGG